AGAGUUUGAUCAUGGCUCAGAAUAAACGCUAGCGGCGUGCCUAACACAUGCAAGUCGAGCGAGAAAGUCCUUCGGGAUGAGUAAAGCGGCGGACGGGUGAGUAAUAUAUGAGAAUCUGCCUUUUAGUGGAGAAUACCUUCGAGAAAUCGAAGUUAAUACUGCAUAUGUCCUUCGGGAGAAAGAUGGCCUCUUUGCUGUCGCUAAAAGAUGAGCUCAUACACUAUCAGCUAGUUGGUGGGGUAAAGGCCUACCAAGGCUUUGACGGUUAGCCGGCCUGAGAGGGUGUACGGCCACACUGGAACUUAGACACGGUCCAGACUCCUACGGGAGGCAGCAGUGGGGAAUAUUGCGCAAUGGGCGAAAGCCUGACGCAGCGACGCCGCGUGGAGGAUGAAGGUCUUAGGAUUGUAAACUUCUGUUAAGUGGGAAGAAAAGUCUACGCUUAAUACGCGUUGGAAAAUGACGGUACCAUUAGAGAAAGCACCGGCUAACUUCGUGCCAGCAGCCGCGGUAAUACGAAGGGUGCAAGCGUUAUUCGGAAUCAUUGGGCGUAAAGGGUGUGUAGACGGUGUAUUAAGUCUAUUGUUAAAUCUUCUGGCCUAACCGGAAAUCUGCAGUGGAUACUGAAGCACUAGAGGGUGGAAGAGAGAAGUGGAAUUCUCGGAGUAGCGGUAAAAUGCGUAGAUCUCGAGAGGAACACCAAUGGCGAAGGCAGCUUCUUGGUCCAUACCUGACGUUGAGGCACGAAAGCGUGGGGAGCAAACAGGAUUAGAUACCCCCGUAGUCC
rnacentral:rRNA from 1 species